UACGAGGGGGGCGAGCGUUGUUCGGAAUUAUUGGGCGUAAAGGGUGCGUAGGCGGUUCCGCAAGUCCUGUGUGAAAUCUUCGGGCUCAACUCGAAGUCUGCACGGGAAACUGCGGGGCUUGAGUGUGGGAGAGGUGAGUGGAAUUCCCGGUGUAGCGGUGAAAUGUGUAGAGAUCGGGAGGAACACCGGUGGCGAAGGCGGGUCUCUGGGCAAUUCCUGACGCUGAGGCGCGAAAGCGUGGGGAGCAAACGGG
rnacentral:rRNA from 1 species